UACGUAGGGCGCAAGCGUUAUCCGGAAUUAUUGGGCGUAAAGAGCUCGUAGGCGGUUUGUCGCGUCUGCCGUGAAAGUCCGGGGCUCAACUCCGGAUCUGCGGUGGGUACGGGCAGACUAGAGUGAUGUAGGGGAGACUGGAAUUCCUGGUGUAGCGGUGAAAUGCGCAGAUAUCAGGAGGAACACCGAUGGCGAAGGCAGGUCUCUGGGCAUUAACUGACGCUGAGGAGCGAAAGCAUGGGGAGCGAACAGGGAUUAGAACUACCGUAGU
rnacentral:rRNA from 1 species